CCGAGGGUGUCCAGCUCUGCGGCCCAGCACUCUACAGACUUGUCCCUUGUGUGUGUGCGGUGUCUGUCUGUCUGCUUCCACAGGUUCUAAAGAAGUACCCACGCCUCUGGUGCAUGACCAAGCCCCCUAGCCGGCGGCCGAAGCUUUACAUCGUGAACCUGCAGUGGACCCCGAAGGAUGACUGGGCUGCCCUGAAGCUACAUGGGAAGUGUGAUGACGUCAUGCGGCUCCUCAUGGCCGAGCUGGGCUUGGAGAUCCCCGCCUAUAGCAGGUGAGUGAGCCGCUGCAGCAGCCUGCUUCCCCGCACCUCUGUGUGCUGGGCCUUGUCUGUCUUCUCUCGUGAGCUGAGUGUGGAGGAAGCUCUGAGGUGUUUGCAGUGGUGUCUGAGGCAUGACUGAAGCGUGGUGGUCUCCAGAGGGCCUGACCUCGGUGGUUGGCGGAGACCCUGCGUGUGCCACUCCUGCCCUG
rnacentral:sRNA from 1 species